rnacentral:misc_RNA from 1 species
CUCUGUUUUCUUCAUUCAACACGAUGUCUGACGAGGACCAUGACUUUUCGCACCAGGGAGGCGGCGACAACGCGUCAAAGACGUAUCCCUUGCCCGCUGGCGCCCUGAAGAAGGGUGGCUACGUGUGCAUCAACGGCCGUCCGUGCAAGGUGAUCGACCUGUCCGUGUCGAAGACCGGCAAGCACGGUCACGCUAAGGUGAGCAUUGUUGCGACCGACAUUUUCACUGGAAACCGCCUUGAGGAUCAGGCCCCGUCCACGCACAAUGUAGAGGUGCCGUUUGUGAAGACCUUCACAUACAGCGUGUUGGAUAUCCAGCCCAACGAAGAUCCCUCUCUUCCAUCUCAUUUGUCGCUGAUGGACGAUGAGGGCGAGAGCCGUGAGGAUCUCGAUAUGCCCCCGGACGUGGCCCUGGCAACUCAAAUCAAGGAGCAGUUCGACUCCGGCAAGGAGGUGCUAGUUGUGGUUGUGUCUGCAAUGGGCACUGAGCAGGUGCUGCAGACGAAGAAUGCUGCGGAGAAGUGAUGGAAGUAUCCUCCGGAUGUUUUCAUCAUGAAAACCAAAGCCAAUUUUUUUUUUGUAAAUACUAACACAAUUCGACCCCAAUGAAUGACAACACGUCAGCGUGGUGCCCAUGCUGCAGUGCCCACUCCCGGAGGGCAAGCAGCCAUCCUAUUCCUGUCAAUGCCGAGUCACUUGCGAUGGUGUAAGGGUCGAGUGGCUACGAAGCGGGAAAUGCAGACAUAGCUGCAACAAGCAACACGCUUGCGCCACCCACAUGAUGGUCAGAGUGCCCACGUAGCUCGAGCGCAGCCCACCCGGUCCUCGCUGCUUGCCGGUGGUGGUGGGGGAGCCUCAGCCACCUCGAGGGAGAUGCACCAGACGGCAACGGGCCUCACAGCCGCCCUGCCCAGCGGGUGGGUGGGUAGGGUGUGGGGCAGAGGCCGUGCUCAAAUGAGAGGAACGGCAGUGCUGUGAUGCGUGCCUUCGGCGGCUUCGAACCGCGCGGAUGGGGCCUGUGAUCGGCCGGGGUAGUGUGGAGCUGAGCACGUGUUCUGUGGCGGAAUGGGCGCGUUGUGAGGGGGAAAAGCUGAUUUGCAGGUAAAGUGAAAGGACGAAAGAAACAAAAAAGAAAUCAGAUUUUUUUUUUCUUUGUCACUCAGGUAAACACGUACAGACAUUGGAGCAUGCCUGAACACGGCUUCUGGCAACAGGUAAUUAUCCUGUAUCGAUUUUUUUCCCGGUCGAGGAGUAUGGGGUUUACCUUGCCUCGUUCGUGUGUGUGUCGCCAGAUGCUGCACUGUGAGGAAGCUGUUCGGCACCUGAUUACGCAUGAGC